UAUGCUCUAGUUUAGAAAGAAUUUUUGUUUUUGGUGCAAAAGGGUGUGGGCGUAA
rnacentral:tRNA from 3 species